rnacentral:rRNA from 1 species
CGAGUUUGAUCCUGGCUCAGGAUGAACGCUAGCGGCAGGCUUAAUACAUGCAAGUCAAGGGGGUAGCAAUACUACCGGCGCACGGGUGAGUAACACGUACAUAACAUACCAUAUACUGGGGUAUAGCUUUGGGAAACUGAAGGUAAUCCCCCAUAACAUUGCGAGAGGGCAUCUGAUUGCAAUUAAAGUUUCGACGGUAUAUGAUUGAUGUGCGUUUGAUUAGCUUGUUGGUAGGGUAACGGCCUACCAAGGCGACGAUCAAUAGCUGGCGUGAGAGCGCGACCAGCCACACUGGAACUGAGACACGGUCCAGACUCCUACGGGAGGCAGCAGUAGGGAAUAUUGGACAAUGGGCGAAAGCCUGAUCCAGCCAUGCCGCGUGAUAGAUGAAGGCCCUCUGGGUUGUAAAUAUCUUUUAUCUGGGAAGAAACAAUCUUAUUCUUAAGAUCUUGACGGUACCAGAGGAAUAAGCACCGGCUAACUCCGUG